GUGACAUAGUAAUGAAAUCGGAAUCAAUCUUACCAAUCUUACCAAUCAAGUUUGGAAGCAUAUAUAUGGAGCUUUGCCACAGAACAAUCACUACCAUUUCUGAACAUGGAGGAACAUCACAACACUGAACAGCAGCUACAUGCUGGUGGAAGAGAAAGAAGAAGUGUAAGAAUGUGUGGUGGUGGUGUUACUGGGGAAGACAUAAUAGAGGAAGAGGUAGAAGGCAAAGAAUAAAAGUCCCUGAUGAAAUCAGAGCCAUAAUUGUGGACCAUGUCAUAAACCACAGUCUUACAAUGGAAGGGGCUGGUCGGAGAGUACAGCCUAAUGUAAACAGGUCCACAGUGUCAUCAAUUGUGCAAACAUUCCAUAGGGAAAACAGGACAACGACCUCAUGCUGGUGGCAGAGCAGCAGUAUUCAGCCAUCAGCCAGAACAAGAAAUCUGCAACAUGGUCAUAGCCAACAAUUCCAUCAGGCUAAGAGAUCCAAAGUGCAAUCAUAAAUGACGACAAUAUCUUCGCAAAUAUCAAUUCUGUCAGCAUUUCCACUAUAGACAGAGUUUUGUAAAAAAUCUAAUGACUAUGAAACAACUCUACAAGGUGCUAUUUGAGAGGAAUAGUGAAGGAGCUGCGGUACCAGUAUUCUGGUUCUGCUUUUCUUUUCUUAGUCAACCUUGUGUUCUGUUUCUUUGUGUUCUGGAAUGUAGCCCUGUCUUUCAUUUUUGUUCAUUGAUUUAACCUGUGUUCGUUUCUCACCUGGUCUCAUCAGCUUCCUGUUGAGUUCAGUUCUUUCGGUUUGUAUUGGUUGUGAGGUAUUGUGUUUUUGAUUACCUACCUGUGUUUGUCCAUUGCCUGCCUGUGACGACAAUUCCUACCUUCUGCGACAGCUUAAUAAACAUCUGCUGCGCCCUGCGCGUGAAUCUACACCUUUUUCUCCCUGAGUUUUCAUUACAAGUGUGUCCAGAGAAUAACGGAGCUGGAAGGACAUGACGUGACCCACAUUCUUGUUUUUGUGGACGAGGCUGGGUUCAAUCUGGCCAAAGGCAGGAGAUGUGGCCGCAAACUCAUUGGAUACCGCGCCAGAAUUGGCACACCAGGCCAACGUGGGUGCAGUAUUACGUGUGCUGCCAUUUCUGAGAAUGGUGUGAGCACACAUUCCACACAUUGGGCUCUAUAACACCCAACUUCUCCUGGGCUUCCUAAAUACACUUUACAGAGACCUAAUGCCAGAACAACAAAGAGGUUUAGUUAGACUGUAUUUGGCAAAUUCUGUAAUUGUGUGGGAUAAUGACAGCUUCCACCGACCCAACAGUGUUCGGGAAUGGUCUGCUGCGCAUGAAAGAAUAACAAUGGAGUUCCUUCCACCAUCCUCCCCAUUCCUGAAUCCGAUCGUUUUUGUUCAGCAUGGAGGUGGGAAGUGUAUAACAAUCUGGCACAAGGUUAGAUACAAUGAAUGCUGCUUGUGAGGACAUUGCAGGGGAUGGUUGAGCCACGCAAGGAGAUUACAAUUAAUUUUUUUCCCCCCUGGUGCAUCGCAAGGGAAAACAGAUGUGAUGUUGACCAAUCUCUGGCCAGACCAACAAGAGCGACAGGCUGUCCACCAAGAAGAUGGGAACUUGUAGUGUUACGUACUGUGAGGAGGUACAAGUUAUUGUUUUUUACAACACUGUUGCGGGGUUUUAACUUUUUUGUUGUUGCAUGGAUGUCAUUUUGUGGCAAAUUUUCUGUUCACUAUAUAUGACUUUAUAUGUAAAAAUGGACUUGCAAAUGUGAAUUUCUAUUUACAUGUAACACAUUGCUACAAAAAUAAGUGUACUGUAUACAUACAAAUGUGCAUAUCCUUUUUCUGUGUACUACAGUAUUGUCUUUCCCCAGUAAACUUUGACCUACUGUUGAAAUCGGUAUCUAAAAAGCUCAGUGUGAUACACAAUAGCAUUCCGCUAGACCAAAACGGACAUUCUUGCAUAGUACAGUAAGCAGUCAGUGUCAGCAAAAAAAGUAGACCAGAACUGCCAUUUGUAUAUAACAAACAUUUCCAGGGUUGACUGCCAUGGUGAAAAAACAUCUAAACAUUUUCACCAAUACGGCUCACACGAUGACAAACGUUUCAUUUUGGUGGCGUUGGCCAAUUUACUGACACAAUAACUAGGUUUUGAAGCGUGAAUUAAAUGUUUUGGGUGAGUUACUACA